UGCUCAUACAUUGGAGUGCUUGGAUAUGC
rnacentral:piRNA from 1 species